GCCUUUGCUGGUGUGUGGCGAUUAGGCCUGGUGGAGCUGCCAUCAAUAAAUCAAGCGUGAUCAGGGCAGCACUGAGAAGUGAAGGAAUAUUUGGGAGGAUCAGAAGCUUGGUCCUGAUUUUGCCAUCAACAGGAACUUGAUGACUUCAAGGGAGUCCCCAAACCCUGGGUUUCUGUUUUCUCAACUCUAACAUGAGGGGCUAGAUGCAUCUGGUUUAGUUAGUCUCCAUGAUGGUUUAGUUCGUCUCCAUGAUCCUGUGAAUUUCAGAUGUUGAAAAUCUUUGGAAAAGCCCUGAAAGAUGAACAGUGGUCUCAAAUAGUCAAGACCCCCUGCUGGGAGGAGCUAUCCUGCUCUUUGGAAGAAAUGGGCAUGCCAGAUGC
rnacentral:antisense_RNA from 1 species